AAGGAUCAUUAACACGUAUCCAAACGUACCAACCCAUUAUACGAACAACAACUUGCGCCCUGACUGUGUUGGGAUCACUCGUAUGGUCCCGCAGCGUGCAGCUGGGAACGGCUGUAUUGCUGGAGCUCUGUCACGUGCUUUCGAGCACGUGAACAUCCGCAUGGUACGGCUGCCCUUUUUUCCACAUCAACCCUUCUCUGGUUUGACGGAAACAAACUUCGUACUCUGCCUUUCUGCCCUCCGGGACAGGAGACAAGUCGAUUUUAAAGAUAUUGAACGCUGAACAACUUUUAGCAACGGAUAUCUUGGUUCUC
rnacentral:misc_RNA from 1 species